rnacentral:lncRNA from 1 species
AUGGAGGAUCAGCAAUCUGUCAACCAGCAAUCCCCAUGGCUGUUCCCGUCCUCCAUCAAGGCCUGCGGGAAGGUGAGGGUGAUGGAAAAACAGCAGCCGGCCAUGGACAUGCAUGCUUCAGCCGGUCCACCCCGGAACUGGAAGGGCAUUGCAAUCGCCAUGAUGGUGAUCGUUGGUGUUCUAUCACUGGUCAUCCUUUCAGUCAUCAUGCUCACACCUGGUAAGAUGAAACACAGAAUGGGGGAGGGAAGAGAAGGAAUGGAGGGGAAGAGAAGGAAUGGAGGGGAAGAGAAGGAAUGGAGGGGAAGAGAAGGAAUGGAGGGGAAGAGAAGGAAUGGAGGGGAAGAGAAGGAAUGGGGGAGGGAAGAGAAGAGAAGGAAUGGAGGAGGGAAGAGAAGGAAUGGAGGAGGGAAGAGAAGGAAUGUGGAGGGAAGAGAAGGAAUGUGGAGGGAAGAGAAGGAAUGUGGAGGGAAGAGAAGGAAUGUGGAGGGAAUGAAAGAUGUAGAGAAAGAAAUGGAGAAAAAGAAUGCAGGAGGGGACUGUGUCUGUGUGUGUCCCAGGGUUCUGUUGGAGCUUAACCCUCCAGCGGGGGAGAAGGUAUUGAUACAGUACGCAGCCUGGGGACUGCAGGGGAACCAGCUGGCCUAUGUGUUUGAAGGAGAUAUCUACUACCAGACAGAAGUGACCAGUAAACCUCUCCGGCUCACAGCUACAGGCAGAGAGGGGCUGGUGGUCAACGGGCUGAGUGACUGGAUUUACGAGGAGGAAGUGCUCUUGACUUACCCUGCCAACUGGUGGUCGAAAGAUGGAGCUCGCUUGGCAUACCUCACCAUCAACAACUCUGCCACACCGCUAAUGGAGAUACCUCACUUCUUGGGUGGGGUCUAUCCCUCCAAUGUGUUCUUUCCUUACCCCAAGGCUGGCUCCACCAUCCCCACUGUCAGUCUGUUUGUGGUGAAUCUCUAUGGUCCAGCUCACACUCUAGAGAUGAUCCCUCCAGACUCUGUCAGGGGCAGAGACCGCUACAUCUCCAUGGUGACAUGGAUCAGCAGCACUCAGUUGGCGGUACGUUGGUUGAACCGGGCCCAGAACCAAUCAGAGCUCUGUGUGUGUGAGGCCACCACUGGGGCAUGCUCAAAGGUGAGAGGUCAAAGGUUACUCCACAGUAAUCCAAUGGGUGAGGUGCCAUUGUUUUCAUCUGAUGGCUCUUGGUUUUAUUUGACGUUGCCAGCCAAGCAAGGUGCCCGUGGGGAGUUCCGCCACAUUGCCAGUCUGCCAGCCCAGGUCAGUGUGAGGACACUCAAACUUUUAUACCCCUGUGUCAUCCUCCAAUGGUUUAAUGCCAGACUACUUGUUAAGUCUUCAAUAGGCUACUUCCUCAGCACAGAAGAAUCCAGACAGAGCAGACACCUGUACAGUGUGGACUUUGAAGGGAUCUUCCAACGCCAGUGUCUGACCUGCAACCUUCUAGAUGACUGUAGCUUUUUCAAAGCAGUGUUCAGCCCCAAUCAGACAUAUUUCACACUUUAUUGCCUAGGUAGGAGCUCUGUACACACGCACACAAACGCAGGAUACAUAGUUCUGGAGGACAACACACCUCUCUCUGAGACCCUAGAAGGGAAGAGACUCCCAGAGACUGUCUUCAAGACCCUCGCAGCUGACAACCAUGGUAAGUGUCUGACCCCGUUCCUCCUGUUGUCAUGCAGGGACGGAGUUCCAGGCAGUCAGUCGGUGACGGAGGAGUUUACUAUGGGAUGGCCUGAGGUGCUCGCGAGCACACAUGACAUGGCGUUAGCCUGGGUGGAUGGAAGGAGUGGGGUCGGCCGGGGGCAGAAGAUCAGCAGUGUGGAUCCCCGCAAGCUCAGCUCCCUCAGAGUCAAAGAUCAACUAGGAGUCGUAGAGUGGUUGAUGCAAUUGCCUUACAUUGACGAUCAGCGGAUUGCCCUGUAUGGCAAGGCAUUUGGUGGUUAUUUAUCCCUCAAGAUGCUAGCUGCCACUGAUCAGCUGUUUAAAUGUGCAGCCGCUGUGGCUCCCAUAACAGAUUUCAAACUCUACAGUGCUGCCUUCUCAGAGAGGUAUCUAGGUCUCCCAGCAAAGGAGGAGCACACUUAUCUGACGGCAUCUGUAUUGGAAGAUGUUCACAAGCUUAAAGACGAGAAUUUCCUCUUACUGCAUGGGACUGCAGACGCACGGGUCCACUUCCAGCACAGUGCAGAGCUCCUGAGUCGCUUGGUGAAGGUGGAGGCCAACUACUCCCUGCAGCUGUACCCAGACGAGGGCCACAUCCUGAAGGAGCGGCGCAGCAUCCAGCAUUCCCAACGGACCUUGGUGCACUACCUCCAGACCUGCCUGAGACACAACCCCCUCCUGGCCUCCAUAGAGGAGCCAGAUGAGGAGGAUGACUGAGUACUCCCACCUCUGGUACUGGAGAAACACUGAGAAGUGACGACUACUCAAAGUCAGACUACUACUAAACACUAGUCUCUUCCCACAGCCACUGACUAGACACAAGAACACGGGAGUGUGGACCAAGAAUAUCAGAUCACAGCCUACUGUUAUCAGUUCACAGCAACUUUGGAAACAUACAAUUUCUUCCCAACAUUGUUUGUACUGUUUGAAUUGUGUUGUCCCUGAUUUGUUUACACUGUGUGGAUCAAUUAUCCAAGAAGUGACCAUGGCCAGGCCAAAUGUUGAUUCUUCUUCAAGUUUACAAAAUAGCCUGAACAUGCAUGUCGUAAUGGCUGCAUGAAGCGGAGUGGUUUACAAUGCCUUCUUCUAUGUUUCGUUAUCCUGCAUAUCUUAACUUUGCUUAAUUUAUUACAACUAAAAUCAGCCUGCUAUGCUGAUAUGUAAACACAUAUAUGGUAUGGACUUAGUGUCACUCUUAAUGUGCCAAAUACAUGGUAUGUUUACAAGUGUAUUCACCAUGUCAGUUCAGAGAUGUAUCCAGACUUGCAGAAGUUAUAAACUGUAUUUUCCAUGCCUCUUGCAUGAUUAUUUUCAACAGUUCCAUGUUGUAUUUGGUAACUUUGGAUGGAUAUAAUAAGAAUGAACAAACCCAACAAACUAUAAUAUGAAGCACAUUUGUUAGAAGUAUAUUUCAGUAGUUAUGUUUUUGUUUGUUUUCUUGAAUGAAUUUCCUUUGAUAGUCACGCAUACUUUGUUCAUGUGUACUGCAAUAGUUUAACACCUCACUGAAAAUUAUACAUCUCCCCCAGUAACGUGGACUCCCAAUCAAAGUUGUGGAACAUCUAUGGUGCACUGCAUGUAGUCUGUUUGCAAUUGAAUAGCCAACUUUACAUUUUUCCUUUUUUUUGUUUUACUAAAUCCUUUACGAUAAAGAAUCAAUUCCUUGUUUUACAGAAAUAUUGUUGUGUGUGUGUGUUCCAUCACUGGCUGCUUUGGAGAGGACAAGUGGAGCCUCGGCCAAAGUAUCAGCAUUGAAAUAGUGAAUGAAUAACUGUCUGUUGUGUCAAGUAUAAUUUCUUGAACCGGUCUCGUUGGUACCAGGUGUUUUUAACCUAGACCUCAACAGUCAGACUAAAUAUAUUUGGCAAGAAUUGGAUAAGUGCAAUAUGGCCAGUGGUGGAAAAAGUACCCAAUUCUCAUACUUGAGUAAAAGUAUAGAUACCUUAAUAGAAAGUUACUCAAGUGAAAGUCAAUCAAUCAAAUAAAGCCCUUUUUAUAUCAGCCGAUGUCA